UAAUAAUUCGCGUAAAUAUUUUUAAUCCGGCACUUUAUUUGGGUCCUUACGGUUUAUAGCGUCCUCACAUCCGGUAUGUAAAGCGCGCCCACGUGGUGGGGGAGCAGCGUGUGAUCUCAUGGACUGGAGCUUCAUUCCAAAGAUGGCGGUUGGAGACCAGAUCAUCUGUGAUGGCGGUUGGAGACCAGAUCAUCUGUGAUGGCGGUUGGAGACCAGAUCAUCUGUGAUGGCGGUUGGAGACCAGAUCAUUCACACCACACCAUGACAAAGGUGGAGGAGUCUGAACAUGUUCCACACACAGGUGGAUGAUGCUUGAACUCGACCGGUGCAUUUUAACAGCAUUUCCUUUCAUGUAGCUGCCGUCUGUGCUGUUUAGAGGAUCGUCACAUCAUAAAGUCUGUUCCAGAUGAUUUUUUUUUUUGGCAUCACUGCUGCUUCUUUCACUUAGUCAGUCAGUCAGUCAGGUUUGUUUUAGACAAUCAGGUAGUAAUUACUACACAGGUGAGUUUGGUCUCUCUGUUAUGUAUAAACUUUUUUUUUUAAUCCUCUGAUUUCAAAUAAAGAUUUAUCCCA